AGGCUCUUGGGUUGUAAACCUCUUUUAUCAGGGAAGAAGAUCUGACGGUACCUGAUGAAUCAGCAUCGGCUAACUCCGUGCCAGCAGCCGCGGUAAUACGGAGGAUGCAAGCGUUAUCCGGAUUUAUUGGGCGUAAAGCGUCCGCAGGUGGUUGUUCAAGUCUGCUGUUAAAGCGCGAGGCUUAACCUUGUACAGGCAGUGGAAACUGAGCGACUAGAGUAUGGUAGGGGUAGCGGGAAUUCCCAGUGUAGCGGUGAAAUGCGUAGAUAUUGGGAAGAACACCAGCGGCGAAAGCGCGCUACUGGGCCAUUACUGACACUCAUGGACGAAAGCUAGGGGAGCGAAAGGGA
rnacentral:rRNA from 1 species